rnacentral:rRNA from 6 species
ACAACGACUCUCGGCAACGGAUAUCUCGGCUCUCGCAUCGAUGAAGAACGUAGCGAAAUGCGAUACUUGGUGUGAAUUGCAGAAUCCCGUGAACCAUCGAGUCUUUGAACGCAAGUUGCGCCCGAAGCCAUCAGGUUGAGGGCACGUCUGCCUGGGCGUCACGC